rnacentral:rRNA from 1 species
GCGCAGCAGUCGCGAAUAUUUUUCUCAAUGGGCGAAAGCCUGAAGGAGCGACGCCGCGUGGGGGAUGAAUGGCUUCGGCCCGUAAACCCCUGUCAUUUGCGAACAAAUUGACUCACCCAACGCGUGUGUCAUUGAUUGUAGCGGAAGAGGAAGGGACGGCUAACUCUGUGCCAGCAGCCGCGGUAAUACAGAGGUCCCAAGCGUUGUUCGGAUUCACUGGGCGUAAAGGGUGCGUAGGCGGUUGGGUAAGUCUGACGUGAAAUCUCCGGGCCUAACCCGGAAACUGCGUUGGAUACUAUCCGGCUAGAGGAAUGGAGGGGAGACUGGAAUACUUGGUGUAGCAGUGAAAUGCGUAGAUAUCAAGUGGAACACCAGUGGCGAAGGCGAGUCUCUGGACAUUUCCUGACGCUGAGGCACGAAAGCCAGGGGAGCAAACGGGAUUAGAUACCCCCGUAGU